AACGAACGCUGGCGGCGCGCCUAAUACAUGCAAGUCGAGCGAGAAGACGUAGCAAUACGUUUGUAAAGCGGCGAACGGGUGAGGAAUACAUGGGUAACCUACCCUCGAGUGGGGAAGUAACUAGCCGAAAGGUUAGCUAAUACCGCGUACGCUCCUUGGACUUCGGUUCAGGGAGGAAAGCGAUACCGUGGGUAUCGCGCUCUUGGAUGGGCUCAUGUCCUAUCAGCUUGUUGGUGAGGUAACGGCUCACCAAGGCUUCGACGGGUAGCUGGUCUGAGAGGACAAUCAGCCACACUGGCACUGCGACACGGGCCAGACUCCUACGGGAGGCAGCAGUAAGGAAUAUUGCGCAAUGGGCGAAAGCCUGACGCAGCGACGCCGCGUGGGGGA
rnacentral:rRNA from 1 species